UGGGGAAUAUUGCACAAUGGGGGAAACCCUGAUGCAGCGACGCCGCGUGAAGGAUGAAGUAUUUCGGUAUGUAAACUUCUAUCAGCAGGGAAGAAAAUAACGGUACCUGACUAAGAAGCCCCGGCUAACUACGUG
rnacentral:rRNA from 1 species